rnacentral:piRNA from 1 species
UGAAAAAUUUUCAAUUUGUCG